UACGGGGGGGGCAAGCGUUGUUCGGAAUUACUGGGCGUAAAGGGCUCGUAGGUGGCCAACUAAGUCAGACGUGAAAUCCCUCGGCUUAACCGGGGAACUGCAUCUGAUACUGGAUGGCUUGAGUUUGGGAGAGGGAUGCGGAAUUCCAGGUGUAGCGGUGAAAUGCGUAGAUAUCUGGAGGAACACCGGUGGCGAAGGCGGCAUCUUGGACCAACACUGACGCUGAGGAGCGAAAGCCAGGGGAGCAAACGGG
rnacentral:rRNA from 1 species